ensembl:lncRNA
CUUCUGGCUGUGCCGGGUGGAGAUUAUAACAGAACAUGGCCAAGAUGUUCAAAUGUUCAUAAAUGACCAGCAUGGUCGAAUAAUAAUAAGGCAGAACAGUUGAAACUGGAGCAGCAGCACAGUCAGGUGGAAGUUGAAACUGGAGCAGCAGCAUGGCCAGGUGGACUGGGGACAGCAAGGAGUCAUCGUGUCAGGUAGUCCUGGAGCUCAGGUCCUAGGGCUCAGGUCCUCCGAGAGAGAGAAAGAAAGAGAGAAGGAGAGAAUUAGAGAACGCACACUUAGAUUCACACAGGACACCGAAUAGGACAGGAGAAGUACUCCAGAUAUAACAAACUGACCCCAGCCCCCCGACACAUAAACUACUGCAGCAUAAAUACUGGAGGCUGAGACAGGAGGGGUCAGGAGACACUGUGGCCCCAUCCGAGGUCACCCCCGGACAGGGCCAAACAGGAAGGAUAUAACCCCACCCACUUUGCCAAAGCACAGCCCCCACACCACUAGAGGGAUAUC